rnacentral:rRNA from 1 species
AGGUUAAGUUAGUAAGGGCGCAC